CACCGCCGAAGUCACGCAGCGCCUCUGGAAGUUCUGUGACAUCAAGCCUGUCAUUAGUUCCCCAGACUAAUGGGCUCUGCGAACGUUUCAACGGUACAUUGAAACAAAUGCUCCGAACAUUCGCAGAGACCCACAAGGACUGGGAGAAAUUCCUGCCUCACCUCCUCUUUGCUUACAGGGAGGUGCCGCAGGAAUCCACGGGGUUCUCCCCAUUCAAAUUAUUGUUU